rnacentral:tRNA from 1 species
GUCCCCAUCGUCUAGUGGUUAGGACACCGCCCUUUCACGGCGGUAACCGGGGUUCGAGUCCCCGUGGGGACG